UGUGAGUCACAUCAAAAUAGAACUAGUGAAGAGGAGACAUCUCAUUCUUGAGAACCCUUCUAUGAGUUAAAAAAGAAGGAUUUCUAGAGAAUUUCCUAGAAAUAUCAAUAGCUGAAGAAAGGUUAUCAAGAGGAGGCCAAGAACCUUUCACAUAAUGACCUCAACCCCCAGUAGGAACAUAUAAAAUUUGACUCAGAUCAGCAGGGUAAAAAUUUAUGGUUUUACCAUGAACAGUGGUCGAGAACAUCUCUCCAAUAGCAACUCCAUUUGUAUAAAAGUCAUACACUUCAACUUUCCCAAACUUUCUUUGAUAAUCACCUUGAAGAAACAGGUGUGACCAUCCCUGAGUGUUUAGUUUAGUGAGCAACACAUCCAUAUCAGGUCCCCCAAAACUAGUGACAACUCUACCCCUAGCCAACUUACAUUUUUGAAAGUGAAAAACGUGAGCUGACUAAGAAGCCUUAUCAGCAGGAGUAUCAAAAACAACAUCAUAGUCAAGAUCUGGAUCAGGGUGAGUAGAGGGAGCAGGAGGGGUAUCAGGAAGAAAAUCAGAAUAUGAGUCAGAGAAAUCAGAAAGAACAGGUUGGGAUACUUUUUUCUUCAGAUGAGAAGAGGAUUUUGAAGAAACCCCGGUGGAAGGGGAUCCUUUAACAGUGGAAGCUUUCACAGAAGAAGCUUUUGCAGUAGAUUUUGAGGAUGAGAAAGUUUUAGAAGUGGGUUGGGAUGGAGAGAUAGGUGUGAAAGAGGAUUUUAGGGUUUUGGCAAUGAAAUGCUUCAGUUUUCAUUUAGAGCGAAGGAGAAUAUCAGGAGAGGGAUCACUGAGAGGUGGAGAAGCAGAAGGAGCAACCCAUUUUUUUUAGUUGCAUAAAGUGCUUCUUCUAAAGAAGCAUCUUACCAUUGUUUUUUUCCUCGAGUAAGAGGAAUGCGAGGAGAACCAACUACAGGGGAAGGCUUAACUGAAGUAGAUUUAUCUACAUCAAUGACAACAAAAGAGGAUUUCCAUUUUAGAACAGAUCUGGACCUUCGAGGGAUGAUAUUUGCAAUGGGUUCAUCAUCUUGAUCAAUAAUUUGAAGUAGAAUUGGUGUAGGAAGUGAUGGGUUAGAACGGGAUGAGGCAGUUGGAGAAAAUUGGGUAAAAGGGUUUGGGAAGUUUUUUAACGCAGCAAAAUCAGAGAAUUUUUUAUUUGAGGAGGAAUUAACGGAGGUAAGGUUAUAUUUGGGUGAAUCACACUGGGGUUGAAAGUGUUUGUAGCGGAGUCAAGUGAGGAGGAUGAAGAAGAUGAUGAGAAAUCCAUGGCUAGUGAGACAAAAGGUUAGUGUAUUGUUGUAAAGAAUGUUUAGAAAGAAUGAGAAGGAGAGGGAAAGGGGAUGCGUAUUUAAGAGGGAUUUGGAGGAAGAUGAACCAUAUGAGGAAAGGAUUUUGAUAGAAACAUAAUGAUUAAAAGGUUUGUACUGAUGGGAAAAGGGUUGGCAGAUUUUUGAAGCAGAUGAUUUUUGGAUUUUUAGCGGUUUAAGUAUAACGGAAGGGACCAAAUGAAGAACUUGUUUCUCUCUUAUGCAAUCAUGAACAAGUGAAAAUCAUACCUGGACUGUGGAAACAAUGGUCAAAUUUUGCUUUGAUGGUUCAACCUAUCUGUAAAAUCAACACAUAGCUGAGUUAAUUUACUCUAAGACCUUGGAAUUAGGAUACACAACUAAAUGUGUAAGACUGAAUUAAUCAAAUAUCACAUAAGUACAGUCUUUUUUAAUUAAUCAUUGAGGGAGAUUUAUACAAUUUUAAUCAUCCCCAAGGCUAACAUGUUCCUUUCAAAAUGUUCUCUACUCAAAGCCUUAGUAAAUAUAUCAGCAAUUU
rnacentral:lncRNA from 1 species